rnacentral:sRNA from 1 species
AUUUAUUCUUUGUUACCAGCGGGUAAAGCCGGGGACUCAAAGGAGACUGCCAGUGACAAGCUGGAGGAAGGUGGGGAUGACGUCAAGUCAUCAUGGCCCUUACGAGUAGGGCUACACACGUGCUACAAUGGUGCAUACAGAGGGAGGCGAAGUAGCGAUACGGAGCGAAACUCAGAAAGUGCAUCGUAGUCCGGAUUGGAGUCUGCAACUCGACUCCAUGAAGUCGGAAUCGCUAGUAAUCGCGAAUCAGAAUGUCGCGGUGAAUACGUUCCCGGGCCUUGUACACACCGCCCGUCACACCAUGGGAGUGGGUUGUACCAGAAGUAGAUAGCUUAACCUUAGGGAGGGCGUUUACCACGGUAUGAUUCAUGACUGGGGUGAAGUCGUAACAAGGUAACCGUAGGGGAACCUGCGGUUGGAUCACCUCCUUACAGAAAGGGUACUUGAGGUGUUAGCUAGGCGUGCUCACACAGAUUGUUUGAUAGGGAAGAAGGCACACCUACGAUGGGUCUGUAGCUCAGGUGGUUAGAGCGCACCCCUGAUAAGGGUGAGGUCGGUGGUUCAAGUCCACUCAGACCCACCAUGAGCGAAGGUUUAUGGGCGUAGGGAAGUACGACGAGGGGAUAUAGCUCAGCUGGGAGAGCGCCUGCUUUGCACGCAGGAGGUCAGCGGUUCGAUCCCGCUUAUCUCCACCAAGUCGGACGGAUGAACGACACGUGAUUUAUUAUCAUUUUGACAGUCGGUCUAUUAAAAGAUGAAUAGGCUAUAAGAUGUCAGAGAAGGAUAUCAGAGGAAGAUAUCAGAGAAAAGAGUGAUAAUAAAUGACGUAAGUCGAAUUGUUCUUUAAAAAACGAGACACAAGCUGAAAACUGAGAAAACUCAAAAGAGCGAGACCGAGAGGUGGCGCACAAGCGCGAGAAUCCUUGAGGUUGUAUAGUUAAGUGACUAAGCGUACACGGUGGAUGCCUUGGCAAUCAGAGGCGAAGAAGGACGUGCUAAUCUGCGAAAAGCGUGGGGGAGCUGAUAAGGAGCGCAAAUCCCACGAUGUCCGAAUGGGGAAACCAAU